GAAGGGGGCUAGCGUUGCUCGGAAUCACUGGGCGUAAAGGGUGCGUAGGCGGGUCUUUAAGUCAGAGGUGAAAGCCUGGAGCUCAACUCCAGAACUGCCUUUGAUACUGAGGAUCUUGAGUAUGGGAGAGGUGAGUGGAACUGCGAGUGUAGAGGUGAAAUUCGUAGAUAUUCGCAAGAACACCAGUGGCGAAGGCGGCUCACUGGCCCAUAACUGACGCUGAGGCACGAAAGCGUGGGGAGCAAACAGGAUUAGAUACCAUGGUAGUCCACGCCGUAAACGAUGAAUGCCAGCCCGUUAGUGGGUUUACUCACUAGUGGCGCAGCUAACGCUUUAAGCAUUCCGCCUGGGGAGUACGGUCGCAAGAUUA
rnacentral:rRNA from 1 species